AUGACACUUCUGGUUGAUUUGUUCGACCGGGAAGUGCAAUCUCAUGCCUAUUCAAACAAAAGCAACAGAAGAUUAAGCAUUUGCUCUUAUGCAGAUCAAUCUAAUGAUUUUCAUGGGUGGAAGAAGUCAUCAUCUGCUAUGUAUCAUAUGUAUCAAACCUGCCAACGUGACACAAAUUCUACCAGAUAUAUCCAUCCCCCUUCUACACAGCGAGAUAAAUUUUAUAUGAAUCUGAAGACAUGUCUAUUAUCCAACACUUGCACAUUUUCAAACUAG